AUUAUUCUAAUAUAAACACAAUUAACCCUUUUAAUUUAUUAUUGAAUUUAGUCAUAUUAUAUCUUAUAUAUAUACAGAACUAUUCUAAGUCCUGAGGAUGCCACAUUCCUCCUUUUCUUAAACCCUGACAUUUUCAUCAUAAAGCUAACCUUAGUCAAUCUUGUGAAAAGUUGUAUUCCAUCCACAACAAUCAACAGUAUUCCACCCACAAUAGUCAUCAGUUAGAGAGUAGAACUCUUCCCACUGUAUAAUCCUAACUCAAUCAAGACUCAUUUCACACUUUCGGUUGAUGAUUGGUAUACUUCCACCUCAUGAUUGGCUCUGGUACCAACUGUGAUGUCCCGUUUCUUAUAAAAGUCAUUCAUUCUAGAACUACUAUAAUCUUUGUACGCUUCAUAUUUUUAACCUUUUGGAAUUAACCACAAUUCAAAAUAUUAUAGCCGGCUUAAAAAGUUUGUUUUUAUUAGACCUUAUAUAUACGACUAUUUUAAAUUCUGAAAUUGUCAUAAUUUAUUUUGGGGAUUAAAAAAUUAAGAGAAUGGGAA
rnacentral:lncRNA from 1 species